AUUGAACGCUGGCGGCAGGCCUAACACAUGCAAGUCGAACGGUAGCACAGAGGAGCUUGCUCCUCGGGUGACGAGUGGCGGACGGGUGAGUAAUGUCUGGGGAUCUGCCCGAUAGAGGGGGAUAACCACUGGAAACGGUGGCUAAUACCGCAUAACGUCGCAAGACAAAAGAGGGGGACCUUCGGGCCUCUCACUAUCGGAUGAACCCAGAUGGGAUUAGCUAGUAGGCGGGGUAACGGCCCACCUAGGCGACGAUCCCUAGCUGGUCUGAGAGGAUGACCAGCCACACUGGAACUGAGACACGGUCCAGACUCCUACGGGAGGCAGCAGUGGGGAAUAUUGCACAAUGGGCGCAAGCCUGAUGCAGCCAUGCCGCGUGUAUGAAGAAGGCCUUCGGGUUGUAAAGUACUUUCAGCGGGGAGGAAGGCGAUGUGGUUAAUAACCGCAUUGAUUGACGUUACCCGCAGAAGAAGCACCGGCUAACUCCGUGCCAGCAGCCGCCGUAA
rnacentral:rRNA from 1 species